AGGAGAUAUACCUAAUGUAAAUGACGAGUUAAUGGGUGCAGCACACCAACAUGGCACAUGUAUACAUAUGUAACAAACCUGCACAUUGUAUACAUGUACCCUAGAACUUAAAGUAUAAUAAUAAAAUUUAAAAAAAGAGUAUGUUAAGUGAUUUUCAUGUCAGAACAAAGAGGUCUCUAAAGAACUUUUGAUUUGUUAAUUUUAUGAAUUAACAAGAUAACUGCAAAAACGAAUGAUAUAGGUGCCUGAGAAAUUUUGAGAAGGAAACAUCAGGCAGACUGAAGUAAUAGAGAAAGGCUUCCUGACAAUAUUAAACCGGCUAGUUCUGAACUUUCUAUUAAAUUAAAUAGUCAAAGUAUUCUUGUAAUCAAAAAUGUUUGCAAAUCGGGUCACUAGACAGACUAGCAAAUUCAAGAUACUUGUUGAUUACUGUUGAAUCCAUUAACUACGGCCCUAACCUGGCAGGAAUCUUUCAGCUCUAGGCCAUGAGCUGAAGGAAGGGAAAAAGCUUCAGAGGAAAAUGUAAAGAAAAUAGGGGAUAAUUUAACAUACUUUUGUGCAGAAAUAAAUAGAUUGGUAGAAAGGAAGACUGAAAUCAAAGGCUAGUGUGGAAGUCAGAAGGACGGAUGAAAGGGAUUAAAGAAGACAGGUUAGGAAAGAAGGUGGAGUACCCUUUCCCUGUUAGGAAUGGGAGGAAGCUGGGGAUGCCUUUGUGGUAAAAUAAAAUAUUACUUACAAAGAGUAAGAGUUUAGAAUACAUAGCUGAGAAGGGUUAAAAAAAACAAAGUGAAGAGCCUUGUUUGGGAGGAAUAACAUGGGCAGUCAAAUAAAGACCAGUAAAAGGAUCGCUGAGCACAAGUGGAGGCAUAACAGGGAAUCCAGAGCAUGAAGACGUCUGAUGGAGGCGGGUGCUUAUUUCAUAAAGGCUGAAGAAAUGGAGAAGGUACAAGAAAGAAUGGGAGGAUGUGGUCACAGAUCGGGGUUUCUGAGUUGCUGGUUGUAUGGGGCUGUUGCCAUGAGGAAUGACGAAAUCUGAGGGACUGCAUGCUUGUGAAUAUCUGAAGAAAAAGGAGUCGAAGGGCUACUGACACUCACGAUGUUGAGAUAUUCAUAAAGAGAGAUAUUGGGAGAGUCACCAAACAUACAAAACGAUAUACAGAUUAGAUAAUCAGACCUUGGAAAAUACAUAUUUGCACCAGGAUUUCAAAAUAUCUAUAAUUGGUCCAAUACUUCUGAAAUAAGUCUACCUAAUCUAAGCAAGAAAUGGAAUGAAAUCAGAGCGCAUUUUUUUUUUUUUACCAUACAUGGUAAAUGGCAUGGUAAAUAGUACAGCAAAUAUUUGACUGAUGAAAACUGUAAGUCAGAGAAUAGAUGAAGAAUCUAUAACCCAAAGACUUUUCAGGCAUAUUGCAGUAAAUUAAAAUCUACAAAUACUGGCUGAGGGAUUAUUUCAAUCAGGCACUAAGCUUGGUGUCUGGAAUAUGUGGAUAGGACAUAGUCCCCAUCUUGGAAGCUCAGUGUCUAGAAGAGAAAUAAAUCUGUAAACAACUAAUUAUAAUAUGGUGCCAUUUUAGAAAGAUCAGUAAAAUAUACAGGACAGAGCUACUCCCUAAUAGUAGGCCCAAUGAGAGAAGACUUCCCUUUGGACUUGAAGGGUUGAGCUGAGUUCUGAAGCAUGAAUAGAAUUUAUAUUGAGACCAAUAUAUUUAUAUUGAGACAGGCACUGUACGUUAAUUAUCUUGGUAGUCCUGGACACAAAAAGUCCUCAAAAUCUCUGAGUAGUAAGUGAAUAAAUCUGACUGGUCUGCAAACCAUGAGAGAGGAAUAUCAGGAGAUGAGGCUGCAUCAGAAGAGUAGUGAAUAAAUGAAGGGCUUUGGGUGCCACGAGGAUGAUAAGAAGGCAGAGAAGGGUUUUAUUCAAGAGCCAAAGAGGAACAUUAUCAGAUUUCAUAAAGGUUACUCUGUUGGCAGAGUAGAGGAUAGAUUAGAGACAACAACCCACAGGAAAGAAGAGAAGUUCAGCAGCUAUUGUGAGAGUUUAGAAAAGAGAACACGGUCUAAACCAAAGGAGUGAAACAGAAGAUAAAUUAGUGAUUGACAGGAUAUGAGUCCCAGGUGUUCUGCACUUUAACUUCUAUAGGAUCUAAAAUUUCAUACUGGAGCAACACUGAAUGCUGGAAUAUGAGAGAGUAAAUUCUAGCUUGAGCAAACUUUUAAUGGCUCAAAAACAGAAGAUUCAGUCUUAACUGUGAGGUUAUCCGCUAGGUUGUUCACCACACUCUUUGAGAAAACCUCCCAAAUACUCUCCCACCACCCUCUGGUGAAUCAAGGUCAGUAGGAAAACUAGUUCCAAUAUUUCUAAUGUUGUCAAUUACGGUAAAUCCUGUCUACAAUGCCACACAGGGAGUACCUAUAUGAACUUUCUGAUUCUGAACAAGACCAAACAUUAAGGGGCCCGCUUCCCACAUGUAAUCUGUUUUUUUUUUUUUUUUUUUUUUUCCUGAAAAAAAUCAUGAGUGAGUUAAAUUUAAAUAUUUCAAACAUGCAAACUCUCAAGAGGGUACCAUGAUUACAGGGAUUAAAUAACAUAAAGGUUUCCUACAAACUCUACACCUGCUUUUGCCCCUUAAAUAUCAAAUGUAGUUACAUUCUGGUGCAAACUUAAAAGUAAUUUUCAAAUUCUGUCUGAACAUGGUGUCUUAGUCUGCUUGGGCUGCCAGAACAAAAUACCAUAGACUGGGUGGCUUAAACAACAGAAAUAAAUUUUCUCACAGUUCUGAAGGCUGGGAGUCCAGGAUUAAGGUUUUGCAGGGUUUGGUUUCUAGUGAGGGCUUUCUUCCUGGCUUGCAGAUGGCCAUCUUCUCUCCAUAGGCUAACAUGGCCUCUACUUUGUGUGUGGGAGAGUCAGAGAUAGAGCAAGCCCUCUUGUGUCUCUUCAUAUAAGCCUACUAAUCCCCAUCAGACCAGGUCCCUUAUGAUCUUAAACCCUAAUUACAUCUUAAAAGCCCCAUCCCGAAACACCAUCAGACUGGAGAUUGAAGCUCUAACCCCAAUACCAUCACACUGGAGAUUGAAGCUCUAACCACCACCACUGGGGAUUGAAGAUCUAACCCCGAUACCAUCACACUGGAGAUUGAAGCUCUAACCCCGAUACCAUCACACUGGAGAUUGAAGCUCUAACCCCGAUACCAUCACACUGGAGAUUGAAGCUCUAACCGCAGUACCAUCACACUGGAGAUUGAAGCUCUAACCCCGAUACCAUCACACUGGAGAUUGAAGCUCUAACCCCGAUACCAUCACACUGGAGAUUGAAGCUCUAACCGCAGUACCAUCACACUGGAGAUUGAAGCUCUAACCCCGAUACCAUCACACUGGAGGUUGAAGCUCUAACCUCAAUACCAUCAUACUGGAGGUUGAAGCUCUAACCCCCGGUGUGAUGGUAUUUGGGGAGCAACAUUCAGUCAUAACACAUGGCAAAGGACUGCUGAAAAAGAAAACAUGUUUCAUGCUUUGUGUCAUGUAAAGACAAAAGAGACAACUCCCCAAAACUCAUUCUCUUUCUCGCUUUUUUUCCUUUUUGAAGAUCAAGGUAUGUUAAGCAUAUCAACAACAGUGAUAUUCAGAGAGUGGUAAUAAUAUAUGAUGCUAAACUGUUUUGGAAUGAGAUUCAAGCAGCAGCAGAAUGUGGAGAAAGAAACUACAUUACUUAAUCCUUUCCUUUUCAACUACCAGUUUACUAAUUAUUUGGGUAAAAUAUAAAUACUAGUUUUAAAGUUAGAAAUACACUAGGAACUUACUCUACUGCCUUCUAUAAAAUGAAUGCUUUAGGUUGGAGAAGGUGAAGAAAAAGUCCUUUUGAAAAGAUAUCUAAAGUAAAACACUUGGCAUAUAAAUAUAUAUAGCAUAUAUAUAGCAUAUAUAUAAGCAUAUAUAUAUAGCAUAUAUAUAGCAUAUGUAUAGCAUAUAUAUAAGCAUAUAUAUAGCAUAUAUAUCGCAUAUGUAUAGCAUAUAUAUCGCAUAUGUAUAGCAUAUAUAUAGCAUAUAUAUAGCAUAUGUAUAGCAUAUGUAUUGCAUAUAUAGCAUAUGUAUAGCAUAUAUAUAGCAUAUGUAUAGCAUAUAUAGCAUAUAUAUAUAGCAUAUAUAGCAUAUAUAGCAUAUAUAUAGCAUAUAUAUAGCAUAUAUAGCAUAUAUAUAGCAUAUAUAUAGCAUAUAUAGCAUAUAUAGAGCAUAUAUAGCGCAUAUAUAUAGCAUAUACAUAGCACAUAUAUAUAGCAUAUAUAUAGCACAUAUAUAGCGCAUAUAUAUAGCAUAUAUAGUGCAUAUAUAUAGUGCAUAUAUAUAGCGUAUAUAGUGCAUAUAUAGCAUAUACAUAUCACACAUAUAUAGCAUAUAUAUAGCAUAUAUAUAGCGCAUAUAUAUAGCGCAUAUAUAGCGCAUAUAUAUAGCGCAUAUAUAUAUAUAUAUAAUUAGUAUUUCACAGGCUGGGUGCGGUGGCUCACCCCUGUAAUCCCAGCACUUUGGGAGGCCGAGGUGGGCAGAUCACGAGGUCAGGAGAUCAAGACCAUCCUGGCUAACACGGUGAAACCCCAUCUCUACUAAAAAUACAAAAAAAAUUACAUAUAUAUGCUAAGUUUUUUCAUAUAUAUAUACAUGUAUAUGUGUAUAUAUAUAUGAGACUGUCAUAUAUAUAUAUAUGAGAGUCAAGCCUUUUGAUUCACCUACUUUGGAUACCAGUUAAAGUUAGUGCUUCAUCUCUCAUUGUUAUUAAUAAAACUGCAGAGCAUUAUAAUAUGAAUAAUAUUUCAGGCUCAAAAGUCUCACAGUUCAUUUUAUGUGUGAUAAUUACAUUGCCCACUACUACAAAAAUAAAUACACUCAAGAAAGCUACCAUUUUCACAUCAUAACAUAAUUUAAGACUGAAUUGUACAAUAAUAAAAUUAGAUGAUUAUUACUCAAAAUAUAAAAUUAAUGAGCCAAUCAAUGUAAAGCACUAAGGUACGUGUUACCAAAACUAUUCAACUGUAUACAAAUACGUAAUACAGACAAAGAUGUAAUUUUACAUAAUGUAAUUCAUUUAAUCCUAAACUUGCAAGAAAUAGUUUUAAAAUUCUAGCUUACCAUAAAAAUAGUAUUUCACAGGCUGGGUGCGGUGGCUCACCCCUGUAAUCCCAGCACUUUGGGAGGCCGAGGCGGGCGGAUCAGGAGGUCAGGAGAUUGAGAUCAUCCUGGCUAACAUGGUGAAACCCCAUCGCUACUAAAAAUACAAAAAAAAAUUAGCCAGGCGUGGUGGCGGGCGCCUGUAGUCCCAGCUACUCAGGAGCCUGAGGCAGGAGAAUGGCGUGAACCCGGGAGGCGGAGCUUGCAGUGAGCGGAGAUUGCGCCACUGCACUGCAGCCUGGGCGACAGAGGGAGACUCCGUCUCAAAAAAAAAAAAAAAAAAAUGUAUUUCACAGCAUUGUAAAAUGCCAUUUACAUACUUUUAAAACAACUCCUCAUUUUUGCCAUUACUAUUUUGUGAGUUCACAUUUUACUCUUAUGUAAUUAAUAUAAAAGGUACCAUAAAUCCAGUUGGCAAAUUUGCCAACCUGUUCACUAUCAUCAUCCCAGUUGAUACUUUACUCAAUUAGGCCCUGCAUUUUAUCCUAAUGUUUAGGACUUCAGUGAGUACUUACUAAAUAUAGCUGAAGUUUUUUUUUUGUUUUUUUUUUCCCUCUUAGUGGUGAGAAAUAGAUGCAUUUUUAAUGUUUUAAUAAUUUAAAAAUAUUAACAUAAAUUUGAAGGUCAGAAUUUUACAUAUAGGGGGUUCUUCCUUUAUAUUCCAUUUAAAUAAAGUUAUAAAUUGCCUUAAAGGAAAAUUGAAUUUGUUUUGACACAUUAGCAAAAAUUUCCUUAUCACAUCACAAAUCAUGAAUAAAAUGCUGUUACAGAGCAACAGAGGGAGCUCACACAUAUUUGAUUCUCUCCCUGUCUCUUCACUCUGGUUAGAAAAAAUGAAGUUUGCUUUAAAUUUUUUAUUAGAUGAUUCCCCCACCCUGCCAAAAUAAAUCCAAAUAUAUUUUUUAAAUCAACAAGGAAGUUAACUACAAGUAUAUUCUUCCACUCUAAAUCUUAGAUGUUGUGUUGUUUUUCUUUUUAUAAAAUAAUUUAUCUAAGAAAUGCUUCUGGAAAACGUUCAUAGUUAUGAUUCAUUCUGUUUACUAUAUUGUGUUAAAUAAAAUGUGUUCUCAAAAUUAUACAUGUAAAUGUUUGAGAAUGAGAAUCAAAUCUUAAACACAAGCAGCCAAAAUUUCAAAAUCAACCCUUACCUACAGAGGACUAUAAAGAAAUCUCAUUAACAACCACAGAAACUUAAUAAAGCUAAGAAAAUCACAUAUAACAAGCCAUCAGAGAAUCCAGACAACUUCUGCCACAAAACCCAUAAGUCGAUGCCUCUGCAAAAUUUAUUUAAAUACCAUGUUUACGUAUUAUAAUAACUUGUCUUCUGAUAAUGUUUUGGGGGACCCAAAUUAGUCUCCUAUAAAAAAAAGACAUGUCCUGAGACUCCAAAAUAAAUUUUUAACUUAGGAGAAAAUACAUAUGUUAAGAUACUAAAAUAUAAUCCAGGAAAUUCAACGGUUUAAAAAUUGUAUUUAUUAUUUUUCAAAAACAAAAAAUCCAGGCUUUGCAGGAACCUCAAUGUAAUACGUAAGUGAGUUGGACUUCGAGCAACUUAAAAACUGGACAAUUAUCCUUGCUCUAAUUUGCUCCCGGUUUAAUCUUAGUCACAUUGUACAGAGCUAACACUUAUCCUCCAGUGUUCUACUAAUUGCUUGGUGCUAUGUUGACUACUGGGAAUGAACCACAAGAUACAUCACUGUAAACUGCAGGGAGUGCUUCAGUGAUCAUGAGGUUAAAAUCUCCCCAUCAGCAGAAAGAGAAUUCUUUACUUAACUUAGUGGUACAAAUUAUUUCCAGGUGCUGAUAAUUAUCACUUGUGGUGUUUGAUAUUCCGGACUUUGCAUCUAAAUUUAUACUUGACAAGUUAAACUUUUCAUCGUGUGCAUUUUCCCGUAAUCUCUCAACAGCCAAAGACAAGGAUAGACGGAUUAGUGAUGGGUGAAACCAAUUCAACCCAAAAUGGCAACACUUAAUUACAAGUCUUGUUGUUUAUAAUUAACUGUGUAAAUCACUAACUUGAAAGUUUCUUUUCAAAGUAUUUAAAACCAACUCUUUUCCCAGGGGGAUUUAAUACUGUAUAUUAUUGCAUAGUUAAGUAUUAUUUUGUUUGCUCUAUGAACAAGAUGUGAAAAUGGCACAUUUUACCGACUAUCUUGCUAGCAAAUUUGGAAAAUGUUCAUGAAUUGCAUUACUAGCACCAUUUGGUGCUUCUCAGUAUUUUUGGACAUUUUUUGCCUUAUAUAUGAAAGCCAAUGGAAAGACAAUCCAACUACCCAAAUGACUAUGAGUAAUUUCUGAGAGUGGAGAGUGAGGGUCAAAUUCUCAAUUUCAGAAAAUAAAAAAAAAAAAUGAGCUUCCAAAUGUAUCUUCUGAGAUGCAUUCAUUUUUCUGUGACCAAUAUUUAGAAUAAAAAAUUACUGAGAACAUACUCUGUGCUAGAUACCAUAUGUUUUCUAAUAUUCUAAUUUAGUAUUUUCUAUUGUAAUAUUAAAAAAUACUGAGAGACAAGAAGACAACUCCUAUUUCACUGACAAUUAAUCUGAGAUUCAGAAAAUGUAAAUAACUUGUUAAUGACUACUGAGCCAGUAAGAGGUUAUAGAUCUAUAGUUUGAACUCAGUUCUUCUAAAUCUAAAGUCGUACUUUUUAAAACAACCUCUCCAACAUAAUAUCAAAAAAGUAAAGUAUUCUCUUACCUUGCAUAUCUACAUCAAAGAAAACCAUAAGGAAAAGAAACUACAGAUGUGCACGCAGUAAGUCCAAGAUGCUUAAAAAUGUCACAUCAUGUUAAACCUGAGUCAACCUAACAGUAAGGCUGUAAAAACAACUCUACUUCCUGAUUUGUUACUGCAUUCAGCUAAUGUAUUGAGGGCCUAUAAUGGCUCAGAUCCUAGAAAUAUAAGGAAUAAGAAGCAAAGAACCCUUCCCUAGGCUAGUGCAGGAGACCUAUCAGUAAAGACAUGACUGUAACACAGCAUGAUAGGUUCACUGGUAUAGGUAGCAACAAGGGUUUCAAAGAAAGGUUAGCGGUUCCAGAUAAAUUUCAUUUUAAUUUCCAAUGUUAUUUUAAAAAAUUUCUGGGCUCUAACUCAAUCUAUUUAGCUUCAGCUAUCUAAUUUUUGCACCAUUUCUAAAUAUUUUAUGUCUAGUCCCAUCCUCUACCCAGUUCCUGAUUUUAUUAUUUAUUAUUCAAAAAGAACGAAAUGAAAAUUAUGUAGUUGAAAAGUAAAGCAAUCGAAUUUGAGUUGGUAGAUGCAAGAAUCAGCAAACCUGAAGAUGGGUCAAUUGAGAUAAAGAAAUUUGGCCAGGCAUGGUGGCUCAUGCCUGUAAUUCCAACACUGGGAGGCUGAGAAGGGAAGACUGCUUGAGCCCAUGGCUUUGAGACCAGCCUGGACAACAUGGCAAAAUCCCAUCUCUACAAAAAUUAAAAUAAAAAUAAAUAAUCCCCCAAAAUUAGCCAGGCAUGGUGGCACACACCUGUAGUCUCAGCUACUCGGGAGGCCGAGAUAGUAGGAUUGCUUGAGCCCGGGAGGCAGAGGUUGCAAUGAGCUGAGAUCCUGCCACUGCUCCAGCCUGGGACAUAGAGGCUGGAAUGCAGCCUCCGACUCAGGAAUUAUCCUGAUUUUGCUGGAUAAUAUCUGCCGUCUACAUGAUCCAUCAUCGAGAAUCUGAAAGCCUGCUCCUAAGAAUCAUGUUUCUCUCAUUCUUCAAAGUCUUUGCAGAUUGUUUUUCUCUUGAAUGAGAGUUGCAUAUGUUUGGCAACAGAACUUUCAAACUUCACACACCACCUCUUGACCGCAAUGUCUCUUCUAUCCCACAUUCUUUUCUCAUUCCUUAGAAUUUAGAAUUCAUAAUCUGAUUUUAUUUCUCUUGAGUUAUAAAUUCCAUCAUGGAAGAAAGCUUAACAUGCUUUAGUACAAAAUAGAAAAACAGCACAAUGGACACAUUUAACAGCGAUAUUUGAGAAUUCACAAAUGUUAUAGUGAAAUCAGAAAGCUAGUGGGAAAGUAUAAUUAAUAAGAAAAUGUAGUAAGACAUUGGUAAAUAUUAAGGAAUAUAUUAAAGAUCAGCAAUAUUGUAACAGAAAAACUCAAAACAAGCGAUGGAUGACUGGUGGUUGGUUCUGUGUGCCUCCUAUAAAUAAACCACAAUAAAACGAAAUGAGUCCAGCAACAAAGAAUUUAGUUAGAACUUUCCAUUCUCAGAAAAAUAAAAAGGAUUCUUGAAGAGGUGAAUAAAAAGAUCUUGAGAAUAGCAUUUCUUGAUCUUCCAUUACUGCAGAAUUCAUCUUAUCAGUUGACUGAUCAGUAGUAGUCAGUUAACUGAAAAAGUCAGUUAAAGUGGGGAAUCAUAAAAAAAAAUGUAAUCACCAUUUAAAUUACUAAUUAUAUUAUUUAAAUUAAUUAUUUUAUUUAAUCAGGAAUUAUAUGUCAAAACACAAAAAAUACAUACUUUGGCUAAACUUUGAAUUACAUACCAGUUGUCUUUUUUACAUAAACUUGUGCACAUAAUAGAUCCUCUAAAAUUUCUUCAUUGCAUGCCUGUAUCAAAACAACUUACGCACCCCAUAAAUAUAUAUCUAAUAUAUACCCAUGAAAAUUAAAAAGAAAAUAAAAUUUUCAAAUGCUUAUGAUCUUUUCCCCAAUCUGCUACAAUUAUCUCACCCACACUUAAUCUGACACCUCAAGUGAUACAUUUUUAUUAAAUCUUUCUUUCUGAAGCAUUCAUUUUUGUGUCACUGAAGAACUUCCUUUUCAUUCUCAGAUUUUAUACACUUAUAUAAUAUUUAAUUUAUUUACAUAAGUAUAUUAAUAAGUUCACAUACCAUAACAGGUUUGGAACAAUCCCCAACAACUCUUGGUGAACGUACAGGUCAACUAAUAGUAGCAGAAGCGAAUGUAUGUUACAUUAGAGAACAAAGCCUACUAUCUGAAGGCACUCAGCAUGCUGUGGACAUCAGAUGGUGCAUUUUACCAAGAAGGUCCAGAGAGAACUGGUUACAUAGGGAUGGCUUAGGAGGGUUUCUUACUAUACUUUUUUGAUAUCCAUCUUUCUUUUUCACCACAGUGCAAAAUUUUCAACUCUACCCUCCACUCAAUACACAUUAAUGCUUUCACCACGAACGAUAAAGAACAGGAAACUAUAGCUAUUCUUUAUUCUAGUGUAACCAAUUUUCACUGGUUAUGCCAAGGCAAUAGAACACUUUCACCUUUAAAAAGUAACCUCUCUUUGUAGACAUACUUCCAAACUUAUAUCCAUAAUUUACUUGUGUUUUAAAAUGAAAACUCAAUAAUUAAAAAUUAGGUUCAGAGGUCAAGCAUUCCACUUGAAAUCAAUUGUUUUUCAGCUCUGACAGUUACAUAGCCUGCCUUAUAUCCAAAAACUAAUCUUUAUUAACAGCAUUCAAUCUCAGGUUCCUCAUUUGUAAAACGAAAGGCCAAACUAAGAAGCUACUCAUCCUUAAUAUAGUUUAUGUUUCUGAUAUGGAUGUAUUUUAAAGGACCACAUUCCACUUUAAGAUAUACUUGACACAUUUCAGCCAAAAUUCUUGACCGUAAUACAAUAUUUAAGUGAAAUGUCAGACAUAAACUGUGCCAGAACCCUUAUAUCCACACACAGCAGGACCCAAAAUGAGUAUCACUAUACUGGAUUACACCAAUAAGAGAAGUCAGAGGUCAGAGAAGCCACACAGAGCCCUGCAAUAGUCAACAAUGCAACUUAAUGUCCUUUCCAUGUCCAGAACAAUUUGCCAUAGAACUUCUGCAAAAGAGAUUAAUGGUGAUAGUAGCAGCAAGUGGAAGAGAAAUGCAAGAUAUGGAAGCCUAGCCAAUAUUCCAUUUGUAAUUUGUCACAUCACAGCACAAUAAGACUACUGCAAUUUACUAUUUGCAGUGUUGGCAAUUUACAAUUCAAAUGAGCGCCUUGAUUUUUCAAAGAAUGGACUGUGUACACAUCAGUCAGCAUGACACAAAAAUGCCCGGUCAGGUUCAUUUUAAAUGCACGUUUUAUUUGGUACUGUUAACUAAUCACUAUCAUUACUUUUACUGUUUACGGAUGCGAUAUUUAUUAGGCAAAAUGUAAUUUGGAAUCCUUUCUUGCACCCAAACCUAAUUCAUUUCCUGACUUUCCGAAAUAUUUAUAUCCUGAUUAGACACAUUAGAUCUUUAAAGCUAUUAUACUAAGAUGAUUUAUUUAUUUCUGGGGGCAGUGUUAAAAAAACUACUCUCUAAAAGGAAGACUGAAAGGAAAAACGCCAGAGUCCUUUCCAGAACUUAGAAAAAAAAAGAAAUAAAGACGGGGAGAUGGGGAGAAAAAGGGAGAAGGUCUAAUUUAGGGCUGUGGAAAAGGAUUUAGGCGCCGGCCACUCCCAAGUUUGCACCCUGCUUUUAGACUCUGACUUCCUCCUAUGGCCCAUGGCAAGACUCUUAACUUACUUGAAUCAAUUUCCACAUCUGUAAAAUGGGGAUGAUGAUACUCACCUCACAGACAUGUUGUGAGGAUUAAUUAGUGCCUGUGAAAUGCUUUGAAGAUGAAACGGGUUAUAUAAAUGCUAACUAUUAUUAUUAUGAGAGAACUGCCCAAUGCUAUAAUUACAGUUUUAAGUCCCACAAUAUGACCUACUCUGAAAUAAUCAUAGUUCCAUGAGGGAAAAGCACAAGCUUAAGCUUUCUCCUUUCAAUUUAUUGAACAAAUACAGGGAGAAGACUCACAUUUUCUCUUUUAUACUUGCAAAAAGCAGAGAAUCUAUACUCUCCUUAACCUUGACAUAAACGAUUUCAGCAAGUCAUUAUGGCAGUUUUGAAGCAGGUUGGUGUCCUAAGGGAUGUGGAGGCCCAAAGGACAGACGGGUAAAAAAAAAAGACUGAGAAUAUUUUCACCACCACUUGAAACACAAAGGGAAAAUAAGUAAGUGGGCUCGCUGUUGUUAUCCUCACUAUCACUGUUAUAGGGAAGCAGGCAUGGUCUUAUGGAAAAGACACAGCUUCCAGGACCUCAGUGUACCACAUAGAGGUGACAAGGAUUAAACUAAAUUGUGGCUAUGUCAGCUCUGUUGCUAUUGCUAUUGGGUUAUGUAUUACACAUCCACCUCUAAUAUGGAGUUUUAUCUAUUGUCUCUUUCAAGAUUAGCAAUGACAUAAAAAUUGCCAAUUAGCUUUCAAAAGAUCCAAUAAUUUUUUUUAAAUUUUUUUUGCCAUCUGUGAUUUUUCUUCUGAAAGAACCAAGUGUUUAUUUUUUGUUAUUAGGCCUUUGGUUCUAAGAUAUGCAAGUGAGCAUUUAAAAAAUAUAUAUCUAUAUACCAAGAUAAAAAGUUUUAAAAAUUGAGGCUAACUCUUUAGCAAAUUGAAAAAUGAUGUCCUCAUUUUUUCUUCUUCAUACAAGAUUAACUUUAGCGAUUUGUUUAAGCCAAGAAUCUUUCUUCUUUUUAUGUACCAGGAGAAGGUGAAAAAAAUGAACCAAAGCCAACACAAUACUGUAAGUCAAGUAAGAAUCUAACUUAAAUUAGCCUGGAUUUUAAAAUGACCCCUUCACCAGUUUAUAGAUCAAUUACCUAUCUUAUACAAUUCUUUGAUUUGUCCUGACAAAAAUAAUUUAAGAAGUGAUUUCUCUGAAAUUUGCUCUACAACACGUUCGAUGCUCAUGUCUGUUUAACAUAAUAUUGACAGUUCCCUUAAUAAUAAAACAUAAAAAUGCAAAUAUCCUAAACAUUAAGACAUGGAAUUUAAAAACUGUUACUUGUAAUUCAUCAAGACAAAAGUGAACAAGAAAAUGUAUUUAGACAUAAAAUAAAAUCCUCCUAUCAAGAAAUGUAAAGAACAUUUCAGGCUAAAAAGAGAAUAAUUUCAAACCUGUGAAGUGGCAUUUUUGUGAACACAACAAUGGAAAGGAAGCAGAAGAAACAAGCGGCUAAGAGGAAGGAUCUAGUAUGAAAUCUCAAAUUGCAGCCCAUCACUAAGUAGCCUAAUUUAACUCCCAGCCAGCCACUUGCCUUCUUCAGGCCUCAUUUGCCUUAUCAGGGAAAUGGGAGUUAUAGUAUCUAUCUCAUAGCAUUACUAUGAGGAUUUAGUAAGUUAAUGUAUAAAAAUAUUUUACUUCCUGACCCUGAGGAAUGUCAUGAAUGUGACCUAUAAAAUGCUGGAUUGGAGGCAGGUGGAAGGGCCAGGAAGCCACUGAAAUCUAAGUCCUGUACCUCCCUGGCAUCUGCUGAGGAUGUUGCUAGAGCUAUACCUAACACCACAGUGUGCUAAGCAAUUCUUCCAACUACACCUAAAAAUACUAAUUAAAAAGCUGUAUUUUAUUGAUUCACUCACUAAAAUUAUUAGACAUCCAGCAGCCUAAGAAAACCCAUUUCAUGUACAAUAUUUAUAAUAACUUAAUGUUAUUUCUAUCAACAAGGAUUCAAACACAACCAUUUUUGCCUGAUAUGGAGGCACUUACGUCCACCAAUGCUGUAACAUUUGCAUUCGUUAACACCCUUUCAUUAAUUUAUUAAAUCAUUCUCCAGUGUAACUUCUGUAGAAUUCCCAGUUUUUGCUUUUGUGAAAUUCUGUAGUUGAUGAACCUCAGAUUUUACAAGUAAUUGAACUUAACUACAGGAGAAGGAGGAGAAGAAGGUGGAGGGAAAGGACAAGAAAAAAAGCAAGAUAUAACUUUUUUUGGUUCCCCUCUUUUAAUAUUUUUUCUAAAAUUCAUACUAAUAAAUACAAUCAUUUAAAAAUGCAGGUAUCUAAAAUUACAUAUAAACUGGUCCUUCGAGUAAGUCAGAGAAUGCUAUUUGCUCAUUGUUAACUGUAUUUUUAGUAUCUUCCAAACAAAAUUCUCUUUAUCAAAAUUAUCAUUUGCAGCUUUUCUAGGUAGUUUCCAAAGUGGAUGCACGCUUAUGGUUGGAAAGGAUCCUUCUUGACAAAGCUUUCACACUCAGAAACUACUAUCAAAUGCAGUCAAGCACAGGAAGAAAGAAUACACUGAUGACCGAGUAUGCUGAAAUAAAGAAACAUAAGGUGCUGCUGUCUGAAUUCACACUGGAGUUUCUUCCACUGGUGUCAGUGUGGUAACCUAUCUAAUUAAACUGCACGAAUUAUACUUUUCCUUCCUCUAUUCAGUAGCAUUUUUCACUGGAUGGUGGAAGACGUCAAGUUUAAUAGUUAACUCUGUGUUUUCUUAAAUAUUCUCUCUAAUUCCUAUCUAGAUAAUUCAUAUCCCUUCUUCACUAUGCCUAAGAGCCUUGGACAUUAUUGGUUGCUACAACUUAACUUAAAGAGCAGAAAGUCAUUAAAAUAGCACAAGGCAUUCAAUGGUGUCAAUUAUUCUACCCUUGAAACCAUCUGAAAUUAAGGCCAAACUAAAAACAAAUAAAUAGACCUAUACUAUUUACUGUACUUACUUUAAAAAAAUAUUAAAAUUAGGCAGACCAUUUCUUCAUUCAUAUUUUAGAUAAAGAUCCAAUUCAGAUUUAUGAAAAAUUCCAAUACAACUAAUGAUCUCAUCAGUCAAAUUCAUACUAUCUUUUAGUUAUACUUGAUGAAUCAAUUUUUCAACAUUAUUUUUAGGACAAAUGGCUUCAUUGUUUUAUUUCAAGAACAGAUUCAAAGAAGUGAAAAGGAAUAGAAAGUUAUCUGAGUGAAAUGCACACUUUGCAACUUAUUUCACCAAUUUUAAUUCUUUUAUCUAAGAUAUCACAGAGUACAAUAAAACUUGCAGAUAACCUAAAACAGUUUAUGAUCUCAAAAAAGUAUAUAACAAUGGAAUUACAGUGUCUUUAAUUAUUAUCAUCCCUCACCUAAAGAAAAAGAAUAUCUUUUCAAAUUGUCCACAUUGUGAACUUAAGCUAGCAUUAUUUAUAUGUAAGAACAUAUUUAGAAAAUGUCAAUGGUGGGCAGCAAGCAACUUUCAAAAUAAAUAACAUGCAACAAAUUGAAAUGAAUAUAUAUAUUUAUAUAAUAUGUAAAAAUUAAAUUCUUGCAUUUAAUUAAAUACACACAUAUGUAUACACUAUAUACAUAUAUAUUUAAAAAGCAUUUGCAAUAGUUUUAACAAGAUUCCCAAUGCUAGCUAAAAAAUGCUAAAUAAACAAAAAAUAUAAAAACAUCGUACUAAUAGGUGACUUUCUCUAACAAUCAAAUCUAUAUUCUAAUACACUUAAGUGAUACCUGGGAUACUAUUUGUUUUUAAUUUCAAAGAUAUAACAGUGAUAGCAUAAUAAUAUUUGCUUUUGUAAGUAACUCUGAAUUUGGCAUGUUCUUAUCCUUAGUGUUUCAAGAAAUAAUAUACAUCCAAUGGAUAAAGUAGGAAAAAAUAUAAAUGUAACUCUCUGGCAUGUAAAAUGUGACACACACACACACACACACACACACACACAGAGCCACGGAGGUUUUAGUGUUUAACUAAUGUAACAUUUCCAUAAAUUAUUUCCAUAAAUUACUUUUUAAAAAUCUUUUCAAAAUAUCUACUAUUAUAAGUACCUAAUAUAAGCAGACAUCUGUAAACUUGGGCAAAACAGUUUACAUAACUCUUCAUUACUGUGAGCUGAAUAAGCAACUUUAGUUAAAAUUUGCUUACUUUUUAACACAGAGCAGAGGUUCCUUCGAGAUCCAGGUUGGUAAAACAGAAGCACAGAUGUCACAAGUACGGACAAGAGGCAAUUAUUAAAUAAUUCAAAGAAAAACGUCCCAAUCCUACGUUAACUGUUCCCACAAAGUCCAGUUCAAAUGUUUAAAUAAUAAAACUGCCAGUGUAGUUGUCAACUACAUUUGAAGUUCAUCACAGACUUUGUAAUUUCCUAGAAAUUAAGUUUUUAAUCUAGCAUCCAAAUUACGGGAUGUUUACUUAAUUUUACUUUUUAAUUAUAUUAAGAAAUAUAUCAAAUGGUAUAAUUCAUGCCUGAUAAAAUCAUAAAAAUGCCAUAUCAAAUAGCAAAUGAUUAAAAGAUGCUUUUAUUACCCAUACUUUGUUAAACUGACUUUCUAAGCAUCACUUGCUUUUUUAAAUCAGGAAAGGGAACAAAGAAUGACUCAAUUCUCUCUCUCUGUCUCUACCUCUCGCCCUCCCCUUCCCUUUCUCCCUCUCUCUCUUCCCUUCUAUAGCCCUCUCUCCCUCUGCCUCUCCGUCUUUUUAACUCUGUGCUAAGCUGAAAUAAUCUGAUGAGUCUUUAGCUUUAGCUGGGCCAGUGAAGCAUGGGGUUUAAGCUUGUGGCUGUAUGGUAGUGACCUGAGUGUGAAUACCUGCCCCUAGAGCUAGGAUUUUAAGCAAGUUAUUUGAUUCUCUGGUCAUUAAACGCAUCACACACAGGUUAGUGUUUCAAAUAGAAGGCAGUCACCGUAAUUAGCUUCAGGGCAAUCAGAACUUCUUUCUUAGGCUUCUCUGUUUUCUCCCAACCUGCCUCCCUCUAGAGAGACUCUUCACCAUCUUGCCACGGUCCCUAGUCCCUUGAGCUACCCUCAUCCCGGGAAAGGCUUCAUUCCUUUCACUCCCGAAGAGUAGCUGCCUUUAUCUUAGCCAUCUCUCCACCAUUCCUUCUACGCUGCACUUAUUUCGGUUUUCCUUUUGUGUCCUGUUGUCUACUUUGAACAGUGAAUUAAUUACCUGAGAACUAAACUGUGCUGGGUUGUAAACACUAGAAAUAAAUUAACUUGUGGCUACUCUAAGGAUCACUUCUAUUUUAAGAGAAAACUUCUACGCAUAAUAAUCCUAAACCUGGCCAGGCAUAGUGGCUCACAUCAGUAAUCCCAGCACUUUGAGAGCUGAAGCAGGAGAACUGCUUGGGGUCAGGAGUUCAAGACCAGCCUGAGCAACGUAGUGAAACACCAUCUCUACAUAAAAAAAAAAAAAAAUAAGUCUGGUGUGGUUGGCGCAUGCCUCUAAGCCCAGCUACUCAGGAGGCUAAGGCAGGAGGAUCACUGAAACUCAGGAGGUUGAGGCUGCAGUGAGCCAUGAUUGCACCAGUGUAUUCCAGCCUGGGUGACACAGCAAGAUUCAAAAAAUACAUAUAUAUAAAUAAUCCUAAACCUAAAGAAAUCAAGUUUUAAUUGUGGGCAUUUUAGAAACCAAAUCAACAACAUUCAUUUUUUUGUUUUUGUUUUUUGGGUUUUGUUUGUUUGUUUUUGAGACAGAGUCUCACUCUGUCGCCCAGGCUGGAGUGUAGUGGUGCAAUCCCAGCUCACCGCAACCUCUGCCUCCCAGGUUCAAGCGAUUCUCCUGCCUCAGCCUCCUGAGUAGCUGGGAUUACAGGUGCCCCGCCCGCCACCACGCCCUGCUGAUCGCGAACUCCUGAUUCUGCCCACCUCAGCCUCCCAAAGUGCUGGAAUUACAGGCAUGAGCCACUGUGCCUGGCCAACAACAUUCAUUUGGAGGAAACCUGAGGAUUUGGGAACACUGCAAGCCAAGAUAUAAAGAGAGAAAGAAGCCAGCCAGAACCACAUUAAAACCUUUAACAUUAAAUUCUUAUAUUUCUAAUAGGCAUAUUACUCUCCUUUGAGUCUAUAAUUAAAGUUUCAGGUAAAUAAGACUACAUUCAAAUUCAUAAAAGAAUUAGUAAAGGAUGAAAAAUAUUCUCAGUAUAAUCUGUGCUGUGUCUUAUUCAGAAUGCCUGUCUUAAUCACAUAGGCUUCUGAUUGCUAACAAUUAAAAUCCUGAUCUCCUUUUUCUCUCCCUAAUAGAUGAAAGCCUUUGUGAAGAAGAUGUAAAAUUCACCCUGUCAUAUUACUGACAAGUGGCACUGAGCUGGUAAAGUAGUGUAUUAAUACUGAUUACACUGAUUAAUAGUACCGUAAAAAUUGGUUCAAUGGUGCUUUAACGUUUUUUAAAGAAACAGAUGAGAGACAUUCUGGGCAGAAUAUAUAAUAGCUUUACAUCAUUCUAUCACAAAGAAAAAUCUUUGAAAUGUAUGAAUUAAUGUGAAAGCCGAACUGUUCCUACUGUAUAUCAAUAAAUUCAUUAAAAAAUUGAAAUGUCUAAACAUCUCUCCCUAACCCCCUGCUAUCAGGAACCUUUAAGAAAAGAAUGCUCAAGGCUUAUGACAGAUCCUGCUAAAUUCAAUCACUGUCAAUCUCUUUCAUGCAAAUGAAUAUGUAUUCAGCAUUAUAUAAUUGUAACAAGAGUCAAUAUCAAUUAUGUUUCCAAUAUGACAGGUCCUAGGAAAACAUCAUAUUGUAUAAGAUGAUAACAUCAAUACCAUAAAUUCUUCUAAGCAAAAGUUAUAAGUUUUAAUACAUCAAUUGGUAAGAAUGUUCUCAUAUAUAGUCCAUUGUACUCCAAUAUCAAAGAUGGACGAUUAGUAGAAAAGGGAUUCCCCUGUCCCCUUUUGACAGCUGAAAAGGCUAUCUAUAUUCCUUGAGUUGUGUAGUUCGCCCAAAUGUUUGCAGCUACUCAGACAGACUUAGGAACCUUGGUCAAGUAGCUUCUCUACUAUAAUACUCUAUUAAAAAAAAAAAAAAAAACGCUAAACAAAACAGCCCUUUGGAGUUAAGAUUUAAGACACAGGAAGUGUUAAAUUAGAGUAAAUUAGAGUUUUACUGGAUAAACUCAAGAAUCUAUUUGUUUUGGGGAGUGCUUUUCAUACCACUACUAUGCAGCAAUUGUAGGAUGGGCAAUGCUGUCCUAGUAACCCUGGAUAGGUAACAAAUGUUGCAAGAGUCUCUCCUUGCUCUAUUAAAGAAAACAAACAAAACAAAAAUGAUUUCUAGGCUGGGCCUGGUGGCUCAUGCCUGUAAUCCCAGCACUUUGGGAGACCCACGUGGGUGGAUCACCUGAGGUCAGGAGUUUGAGACCAGCCUGACCAACAUGGCGAAACCCCAUCUCUACUAAAAAUACAAAAAAUUAGCCAGGCGUGGUGGUGGGCACCUGUAAUCCCAGCUACUUGGGAGGCUGCGACAGUAGAAUUGCUUAACCGGGGGUGGAGGUUGCAGUGAGCCAAGAUCUCACUAUUGUACUCCAGCCUGGGCAACUGAGCAAGACUCUGUCUCAAAAAAGAAUGAUUUCUAAUGGCAACCAAUGAUUUGUGGGGCUUUUAAAGGAAAGUAAUUAAAAAUAGUUCUGUAACAAUAACAAAAGAGGGGCAGCUGUGGGCUAUGAUGCCAAAGCAUUCCAGCUCUUAAGUCAGAUACUGGUGGACUCUCAUGCUGGCUCAGCCACUACUUAGCUGUGGGGCUUUGGGUAAGUCACUCAACCUCUCUGAAGUUCAGGAGCCUUAUCUGUACAAUGAAGAUAAUCAUAUUUAGUGGCUAAAUCUUAAGGAUACUGUGAAGACUAAAUGACAAUUAAUGCAAAUUCAUAUAAAGUACAACUCUUUUAACUACCAUUUGUCA
rnacentral:lncRNA from 10 species